rnacentral:rRNA from 1 species
ACUUAAAUUGAAGAGUUUGAUCAUGGCUCAGAUUGAACGCUGGCGGCAGGCCUAACACAUGCAAGUCGAGCGGUAGCACAGAGAGCUUGCUCUCGGGUGACGAGCGGCGGACGGGUGAGUAAUGUCUGGGAAACUGCCUGAUGGAGGGGGAUAACUACUGGAAACGGUAGCUAAUACCGCAUAACGUCGCAAGACCAAAGUGGGGGACCUUCGGGCCUCAUGCCAUCAGAUGUGCCCAGAUGGGAUUAGCUAGUAGGUGGGGUAACGGCUCACCUAGGCGACGAUCCCUAGCUGGUCUGAGAGGAUGACCAGCCACACUGGAACUGAGACACGGUCCAGACUCCUACGGGAGGCAGCAGUGGGGAAUAUUGCACAAUGGGCGCAAGCCUGAUGCAGCCAUGCCGCGUGUGUGAAGAAGGCCUUCGGGUUGUAAAGCACUUUCAGCGGGGAGGAAGGCGAUAAGGUUAAUAACCUCAUCGAUUGACGUUACCCGCAGAAGAAGCACCGGCUAACUCCGUGCCAGCAGCCGCGGUAAUACGGAGGGUGCAAGCGUUAAUCGGAAUUACUGGGCGUAAAGCGCACGCAGGCGGUCUGUCAAGUCGGAUGUGAAAUCCCGGGCUCAACCUGGGAACUGCAUUCGAAACUGGCAGGCUAGAGUCUUGUAGAGGGGGGUAGAAUUCCAGGUGUAGCGGUGAAAUGCGUAGAGAUCUGGAGGAAUACCGGUGGCGAAGGCGGCCCCCUGGACAAAGACUGACGCUCAGGUGCGAAAGCGUGGGGAGCAAACAGGAUUAGAUACCCUGGUAGUCCACGCCGUAAACGAUGUCGAUUUGGAGGUUGUGCCCUUGAGGCGUGGCUUCCGGAGCUAACGCGUUAAAUCGACCGCCUGGGGAGUACGGCCGCAAGGUUAAAACUCAAAUGAAUUGACGGGGGCCCGCACAAGCGGUGGAGCAUGUGGUUUAAUUCGAUGCAACGCGAAGAACCUUACCUGGUCUUGACAUCCACAGAACUUUCCAGAGAUGGAUUGGUGCCUUCGGGAACUGUGAGACAGGUGCUGCAUGGCUGUCGUCAGCUCGUGUUGUGAAAUGUUGGGUUAAGUCCCGCAACGAGCGCAACCCUUAUCCUUUGUUGCCAGCGGUCCGGCCGGGAACUCAAAGGAGACUGCCAGUGAUAAACUGGAGGAAGGUGGGGAUGACGUCAAGUCAUCAUGGCCCUUACGACCAGGGCUACACACGUGCUACAAUGGCAUAUACAAAGAGAAGCGACCUCGCGAGAGCAAGCGGACCUCAUAAAGUAUGUCGUAGUCCGGAUUGGAGUCUGCAACUCGACUCCAUGAAGUCGGAAUCGCUAGUAAUCGUAGAUCAGAAUGCUACGGUGAAUACGUUCCCGGGCCUUGUACACACCGCCCGUCACACCAUGGGAGUGGGUUGCAAAAGAAGUAGGUAGCUUAACCUUCGGGAGGGCGCUUACCACUUUGUGAUUCAUGACUGGGGUGAAGUCGUAACAAGGUAACCGUAGGGGAACCUGCGGUUGGAUCACCUCCUUACCUUAAAGAA